rnacentral:rRNA from 1 species
GAUGAACGCUAGCGGCAGGCUUAACACAUGCAAGUCGAGGGGUAUAGGUUUUCGGACCUAGAGACCGGCGCACGGGUGCGUAACGCGUAUGCAAUCUACCUUUCACAGAGGGAUAGCCCAGAGAAAUUUGGAUUAAUACCUCAUAGUAUAGCAGUUUCGCAUGAAACCACUAUUAAAGUUCCAACGGUGAAAGAUGAGCAUGCGUCCCAUUAGCUAGAUGGUAAGGUAACGGCUUACCAUGGCUACGAUGGGUAGGGGUCCUGAGAGGGAGAUCCCCCACACUGGUACUGAGACACGGACCAGACUCCUACGGGAGGCAGCAGUGAGGAAUAUUGGUCAAUGGACGCAAGUCUGAACCAGCCAUGCCGCGUGCAGGAUGACGGUCCUAUGGAUUGUAAACUGCUUUUGUACGAGAAGAAACAUUCCGACGUGUCGGAACUUGACGGUAUCGUAAGAAUAAGGAUCGGCUAACUCCGUGCCAGCCGCCGCGGUAAUAC